AUUUAAAUAAUUUAAUUAAAAUAUUGAUUUGUGGAAUCAAAUAUAUGAUAUAGUAUCAUUUUAAAUU
rnacentral:tRNA from 1 species